AACACCCUCAUCGACCGGAAGGAAUCCUUUCCGGUCGAUGAGGUAAAACACCCUCAUCGACCGGAAGGAAUCCCUUCCGGUCGAUGAGGUUGUU
rnacentral:miRNA from 1 species